UACGAAGGGGGCUAGCGUUGCUCGGAAUCACUGGGCGUAAAGGGCGCGUAGGCGGCCGUUCAAGUCGGGGGUGAAAGCCUGUGGCUCAACCACAGAAUUGCCUUCGAUACUGGAUGGCUCGAGACCGGAAGAGGUUGGUGGAACUGCGAGUGUAGAGGUGAAAUUCGUAGAUAUUCGCAAGAACACCAGUGGCGAAGGCGGCCAACUGGUCCGGUUCUGACGCUGAGGCGCGAAAGCGUGGGGAGCAAACAGGAUUAGAAACCCCCGUAGUCC
rnacentral:rRNA from 1 species